UAUAGAUGAGUGUGUGGGUUUGUGUGGACUCCCCUUGAGUUAAACAUUCCUCUGCUUUUCUCAGCUGAAGUCCUUUGAGGAGCCCUUUCACUUCUGACAGGAAAUGAGCACCAUGCCAGGGAACGUGCUGGAAAAGAAUGUGGUCUCGGAUCACCUCCUGUCUCUGCACCCAGACAUUCUUUCCCGUGCCUUCCUGCUGCAAGGGAGACCCUGACGCGGCACGUCUUGUGUCUUAGAGCCUCAGCAGCUCCUCUUCAAAUAGUUCUUUCUUCCUUUCCCUGCUCAUCGUCUGAUGAAUGCCAGAUUUUCCCUCCCCGUCUUCGGUAUACUGGUCUCCUUAAUUUCUACCAUCUGCUGUGCUGCGCUCGGGAAGUGUGUAAGGAUGAGACACGCCUGAUGAACGGUUUGUCAGGGCACGAUGUCUGCUGGAAGGGGCUGCUUCCACGCCUGCCCACUGGUGCUGUUGGUCGCUGGUGUCGUGCGCUCCAGAGCUGGGUGUGCGCCCCGCGUAGCAGCCCUCCUGUCACAAAUCAUCAGGGUUCGGCUACUUAAAGGUCGGUGUGUCACCCGAAGAUGCAGUAUUUCCCAAAAGUCAGGAAGCAAAUAAAUUAUUACAGUUUAAAAAUGAA